UACAGAGGUCCCGAGCGUUGUUCGGAUUCAUUGGGCGUAAAGGGUGCGUAGGCGGCGGGGUAAGUUUGAUGUGAAAUCCCGGGGCUCAACCCUGGAAUUGCAUUGAAUACUACCUUGCUAGAGUACCGGAGAGGAAACUGGAAUUUACGGUGUAGCAGUGAAGUGCGUAGAGAUCGUAAGGAAGACCAGUGGCGAAGGCGAGUUUCUGGACGGUAACUGACGCUGAGGCACGAAGGCCAGGGGAGCAAACGGG
rnacentral:rRNA from 1 species